rnacentral:rRNA from 1 species
AUGCACGCUGGCGGCGUGCCUAAUACCUGCAAGUCGAGCGAACAGACGAGGAGCUUGCUCCUCUGACGUUAGCGGCGGACGGGUGAGUAACACGUGGAUAACCUACCUAUAAGACUGGGAUAACUUCGGGAAACCGGAGCUAAUACCGGAUAAUAUAUUGAACCGCAUGGUUCAAUAGUGAAAGACGGUUUUGCUGUCACUUAUAGAUGGAUCCGCGCCGCAUUAGCUAGUUGGUAAGGUAACGGCUUACCAAGGCAACGAUGCGUAGCCGACCUGAGAGGGUGAUCGGCCACACUGGAACUGGGACACGGUCCAGACUCCUACGGGAGGCAGCAGUAGGGAAUCUUCCGCAAUGGGCGAAAGCCUGACGGAGCAACGCCGCGUGAGUGAUGAAGGUCUUCGGAUCGUAAAACUCUGUUAUUAGGGAAGAACAAAUGUGUAAGUAACUAUGCACGUCUUGACGGUACCUAAUCAGAAAGCCACGGCUAACUACGUG